GGCCUUUCCCUACUCCUUUAAUAAAAGUAGACAUUUUCUCUCAAGAUCUCAGAGUGUACUGUCCUUAUCUCUAUGAAAGCACUUGCCAUGCUAUAUUGUAUUUAAUGCAAUGUCUGUACUUCCAAAUAGACUAUAACUAUCUAAGGGCAGGAACUAAAGUAUCUCAUUUAAUGUGAUCAUGUGUUUGUUGCAUGGAUAAAUGAAAUAAGAAGGGAUUCCUGGCUGCUUCUUCCAGGCCUGUCUCCCUUUGUCUUUAAGCCCUGGAGGAGUCAACCCUACUUUGGCAAAAAACAUUUAGCAUGUCCCCUCCUCUCUCUGAGUACUGCUACCUAUCCUAUAUCCCAAGGCUACCAAAUGCAUAUUUUAAACUUUACAGAAAAUACCAUGUUAUUUAGUAUUUUACCAUUUUUAGGGUAGGGCAUAGGAAUGUGUUCCUAUCUCUCCUGUAUUUUUUCUAACCAAUGUUUUCUCUAAUUUUUAAACCCUUUCAUGGAGGCGUUUUGUAUUUUAGGUGCUGUCAUUCAGAGUCCACAGGAUGGAUGAAUGGAUAUGAAAAUGAACAAACGUGUGACACAACACUGCAUGAUUUACCGGCAAUGACUUUCUGAUCAAGCCUGAACAUCCCAAGACAACCAUGCUGUGAAGAAGUCGGUCUACCCCACUGGAGAAGGAAAGGCUGUUCAGGGAAGUGAAGAUGCCCCAGCUGACAGUCACCACCUGCCAGACAUGUGAGCAAGGCUGUCUGAGACCUUCAGUCUCAGUCAAGCCAUCAGAAAGUUGCAGCCAGUUGAGUGAUCCCAAGUGAGACCAGCAGCGAUAAUGCCCAGUUUGCCAAAACAGAAUUGUGAGAAAUAAUAAAUCAUUGUUGUUUUAA
rnacentral:lncRNA from 1 species